rnacentral:snRNA from 1 species
AUACUUACCUGGCACAGGAGAUACCGUGAUCACGAAGGCGGUUCUCCCAGGGCGAGGCUCACCAUUGCACUCCGGUGGGGCUGACCACUGCGAUUAACCCAAAUGUGGUUAACUCGAGUGCGCAAUUUUUGGUAGUGGGGGACUGCGUUCGCGCUAUCCCCCU